UUCUGCUAUAACUUAAAAAAAGAAAAAACAGGUUAGAAAAAACAAUAUUUGCUCUAUUCAGUAUUACCAAGUAUGUAUCUUCUUUACAAAACCUCAUUCCACAUCCUAGACUGAUGGCUGGGAACCACUCUUAAAGUGUAAACGUUUUGAGUUAUUGUAGUGUAAAAGUCAAGGCUAAGUAACCUUAUCCUUAUGCUUGGGCACAGAUUGUUAACGAAAACACUAAGAUGCAUACCUGGGCACUGAUAACCUCUCAGAAAACCAGAAAACACUAUGUGAUCUGUUUGAAGGAAAAUCGAAUUGGAACUCCUUUAACAGGGCCUGGGAACCUCCAACAAGGUGGAAGCCCUGGAAAUGUGGAGUAAAUUUACUUUUUGAAAUGCAGGGUUUCUUUGUGCCCUCUGUACCCCCAUCAGCAUAGGAGGAAGACCCGAGUCCCUCGGUGCUGGAUUCCCGUCCGUUUUCUUCUCCUUCUCCUCACCUUGCAGCCCUGCAGCACCUCGUCGCAAUACAGCGCCACCUUCUCCUCCCGCCACAUCCCCCUCAUAGGGGACACGCAGACUGGGGGCAGUGGCUGCGCCUUCUCGUCAUCCUCCUCCGGCACCGACAGAAGGGGCUCCUCUUCCUCCUCCUCGGGCCCCUGUCCCCGGCCCUCGGCCUGAGAGCCCGGCAGGAGCUGGAGCCGCCGCUGGGCCGCCUCCCUGAAGUCUUUCCGCUUCACGGGGCGAGGGGAGGCCACCACCCACCGCACGGCAGACGCGGCGCUCUUCAGGGUCCCCGCCUCCACCGAGUCCCCGUCUAGCUGUGAAAUACUGCAUAGGGGCUGACAGCACCCGAGGAGAGGAACACCAUUGGGAAAACACCUGCCUGCCUUACCCCUGAUCUGGAAGGACACUGUGUUAAAUUUGGAGUCUAUUUUAAGUUUUGUUUAGGUCGAGGGGUGUCAGAAGUGGGAUCUGAAGUGCUCUCAAUGCCACAGGACUGAUAUUUCCUGGAAUCAGUGUGGUACACCCAGACCGUCUUGUGUUCACUGUUUCCACAGAUUGCCAUCUCCUUCAACUGGAUGACUCACCUGACUUUAGGCGAAAAGUUGGAACCAGAAUUAAGAGGAACUGAGGGAGCCCAUGCUGCAAAAUAUUGUCUUCCAAAAAGGAGAGAGGAAAACAAUUCAUUCAUUUUUACAGGUAUGUAUUGAGCAUCUACCUUAUGUUGGCAUGGUAUUAGGUGCAGGGGAUAUAGCAAAAUAUUCAAAAAUCUCUGAACUUGCAUUCUUGUUGGGGAGACAGAC